rnacentral:rRNA from 1 species
GACGAACGCUGGCGGCGUGCCUAAUACAUGCAAGUUGAGCGCUGAAGGUUGGUACUUGUACCAACUGGAUGAGCAGCGAACGGGUGAGUAACGCGUGGGGAAUCUGCCUUUGAGCGGGGGACAACAUUUGGAAACGAAUGCUAAUACCGCAUAAAAACUUUAAACACAAGUUUUAAGUUUGAAAGAUGCAAUUGCAUCACUCAAAGAUGAUCCCGCGUUGUAUUAGCUAGGUGGUGAGGUAAAGGCUCACCAAGGCGAUGAUACAUAGCCGACCUGAGAGGGUGAUCGGCCACAUUGGGACUGAGACACGGCCCAAACUCCUACGGGAGGCAGCAGUAGGGAAUCUUCGGCAAUGGACGAAAGUCUGACCGAGCAACGCCGCGUGAGUGAAGAAGGUUUUCGGAUCGUAAAACUCUGUUGGUAGAGAAGAACGUUGGUGAGAGUGGAAAGCUCAUCAAGUGACGGUAACUACCCAGAAAGGGACGGCUAACUACGUG